GUUUCCUCUAACACUACGAUCGACAAUUAAAAAAGUGUCCACGACAAAAGUUCAUUAGGAUCGUCGGUUUAUUCAGGAAGAAAGGCAAUGUGAUCCACGAUCAUGUAUCGAGAGAAAUGGAUCACGUUGGAUGCUGAAGAUACUCACUUUCUUACGAAGCUUCCCGAGUGAUUCACUGAAUAAACCAGAUUAAUGCGUUCUGCUGCACAAGAGGCACAGAGAGAUAAGCAAACUUCCAGAAACUACGUGUGUAGCCGGAGAGUGCACGUCUGAGAGCGUAUUUAAGAAAAGGAAAAUACGCCAGCGACAGAAAGAGCAAUGGAAAAAUAUCAAAGAGAACGACGAUGGUAUACCGAGAAAUAGAAUUUGGGCGAAGAAAAACUGGUGUCUCGAUAUCAAGAAGAAUAGAAGAAAAGAUUGCAACAACGAAAAGACGUACGAAGGGACACUAAGAAAAGAGAAAAGUACGGCGUUAAGAAUCGAAGAAUAAAUUAAAGCCGGCGUGAAGAGCGAAAAAAGGGAUGCAAGCAUCCAAAGUGUAAAGAUCGAAAGAAGAAUUAAAUUGCGAUGCUUCGAUCUUCUCUUUUAAUUACUACGAUCUUCCUUUUUAUUUAUUAGUUUCUCCUUGUUCGGAUUUUAAUUUAGAAGCUCGAUCGCUUGCGAUGUAUCUCCGAUAAGCCGUCUGAUGAAAUUCCUCGCGUUUUUCCAGCCGUUUGUCCACCAGCAGAUUUCAAUUAAGCAAAGAUGAAAGAAGUGUGGCCGGUUCGUUUGAAAAUUCGCAACGGGACCGGAAUUAAAAGUUGUCGGCGUGAUUUAUUUGCCGACGUGACGGAGCUUCGAUCCGCUUUCGCUAUGCGUCGAGAAAUAGAAAUUUACUGCCUUGCCAAAUCUCGAGCCCGAUAUUCCUGCGUUUCCAUGGAAUUUCCUUCGGGAAAGCUGAUUCUUCUACGAUGCCGAUCUUCGAAUUAACCUCGUCGUGUUCCUUCAGUCAUUUUACGCGCAAUUGCGCUUUCUUCCCUGUCGUUAACACGUUUGCUCAAUUUUGAGAAAAGUACAGGGUGGCUCCGUGAGUGGCUUUCUCGUUCGAAAGUCGUCUAACUCUGUUCUUAUUGCGUGUAAAAAUCAGUUAAAUUUACAGCUGUUUGAUCGCGUAGCUGGAUUACGCCUGACCUACUCUGAUGGCACGUAAAAAAUACUAAAUAGCACGAUCAUGUGCCCCGAAGUACCGUCUCUUCUUACGCUAAAGUCGUCUUUUUACGUUACUCGGAAGAAAUCGCAGUUUAUAGCAACGCCAAUAAAUCAUAUCGCCCGGGACGCAUUUCUGUUCAUAAUCUUCCAACAGUUCCAGAUUUUCAAAGUUUGUUCUCUGGAAAUUUACAAUGGGCGCGAUUCACCUCGGAGCAGAGAGUAGAAAUAAAUAAAAUUCUAUUUUCCAAAUCAAUUGAAUUUUCUAUGAACAAUUGAAUGUUAUUUUCAAAAGCGACGCUGCGUUUUUUCAGAAACUGGAAAUUCGAUAGAGAACUAAAAACAGAGCUGAAAGUCCGACAGAAAAAUAGGUGUACGGUAUUCGUUAGAGUACGAGAAUAUUUUAUCACAGAGACAAAUAAUUUGCUGGCCAUUUAGUUGGUAAAUUAUUAUGCAAGAGAACCGAGGUUUUUCUGGUAUUACAAAAUUUAGUAUUUUUUCUCUUUUUUUUUUCGAUUAGAGAAUAUGGAACGUGACGGAAAAUUCACUGUCAGACCGUCGUCAUCGUUCGAAUGCCACGUGAGCUCUUCGCCCGUACAGGAAACACCAGAUUGACGAUGCUUUUGUGCGAGAAGCUGGAUCGAUAACGCGUGUACUGUCGCCAUUCAGAACGAUCGUUCGAAUUCAAUAGCCACUACGUAACGAUUCUUCGUGGAAAACGCUAAUAAAAUCGAACGAGAAAGCGGAGCGUCAAUGGGACGCGAGAAAGGUACUAAAUUUGAUCAACUUUUUCACGGAUUUUACGGCGUCCCGAUGAUUGAGUUACAAGCACUGCAAAUUCUUUCAGUACUGUGUAUUAAUUUCUGAUAAAAAAAAAAAGCAUAAUCAUGUUCAAAUUCCAAAGAUAAAGAUACAAAGAAAAGAGAAAAAAAUGUAGCCUUGUCGAAGUUGUUAAUAAAUUUUCCAAUGUAAAAAUGGAUAAAAUAAACUUGCUGAAAUUUUUACUCUUAAAAUAGUUCGACUCUAACUUUAAGCUUUCUAGGUUCUGCUUUAUGUAAUAUCGUGUAAGCUAGUUUUCUAUUUCAUCCAAACAAUUUAGAUAAUUAAUUCAAGCGUUCAGAGGGGGGUGGGUGGGCGGGGGAAAUCACGUUAAUAAGGUAGAUAUAAAUCUCCUGGAAUGUUUACUCUUGAGAUAACUCGAGCCUAACCUUAAACUUCUCGAUUUCUGUUCGAUGUAAUGCCACAGCUUUCUAAUUUCAUUCGGACGAUUUAAAUAAUAUCAAUUAGAGGCCGCGCAAUCGGCGAAAAACUGGAACAAGUGCACUUCUCCAGAAGAACGAAGAAGUACGAGAAAUAUUACCAAAUCCUUCUGAAUGUCUAACAUCGAGAAUAUUUAAUAUCUACAAUUAUGUAUGUAUUUCGAUAUUUGUCAAUUAAAACAUACAAUUGUAACAUCAAUUAAAAUCCUCGUAAAUGGAAAAGUGAAACAAUUGCAUCUUUCCCAUAAGGAGGGAAAUAUAUAUAUUAAAAAAAAAAAAUGAUAUUACCAAGUCUUUGUGACUAUCUAAUCUCUAUAAUUAUGUACAUAUCUUGAUGCCUAUCAAUUGAAACAUACAAUAUCAAUUAGGAGCCUCACAAGUGGAAAAAUGAAACAAUGGGAUCUUUCGCAUAAGUAGGGAAAAGUAUAAAAAAAGAAAUGAUAUUGCCAAAUAAUAUCUAUAUAUUUUAGCGUCUAGAAACAACAAGGAUUUUUCUAUUAAAUAUGAAUUUUCUUACUAAAAAUUUAGUUUUCA